CGGCGGACGGGUGAGUAACACGUGGAUAACCUACCUAUAAGACUGGGAUAACUUCGGGAAACCGGAGCUAAUACCGGAUAAUAUUUUGAACCGCAUGGUUCAAAAGUGAAAGACGGUCUUGCUGUCACUUAUAGAUGGAUCCGCGCUGCAUUAGCUAGUUUGUAAGGUAACGGCUUACCAAGGCAACGAUGCAUAGCCGACCUGAGAGGGUGAUCGGCCACACUGGAACUGAGACACGGUCCAG
rnacentral:rRNA from 1 species